CCUACGGGAGGCUGCAGUUUCGAAUCAUUCACAAUGGGCGAAAGCCUGAUGGUGCGACGCCGCGUGGGGGACGAAGGUCUUCGGAUUGUAAACCCCUGUCACUAGGGAAGAAACGUUACGGAUUAAUAGUCCGUAGCCUGACUUAACCUGGAGAGGAAGCAGUGGCUAACUCUGUGCCAGCAGCCGCGGUAAUACAGAGACUGCAAGCGUUAUUCGGAUUCACUGGGCGUAAAGGGUGCGCAGGCGGUUGUGUGUGUUAGAUGUGAAAUCUCGGAGCUCAACUCCGAAACUGCGUCUAAAACUACAUGACUAGAGCAUUGGAGAGGGUAGCGGAAUUCACGGUGUAGCAGUGAAAUGCGUAGAUAUCGUGAGGAACACCAGAGGCGAAGGCGGCUACCUGGACAAUUGCUGACGCUCAGGCACGAAAGCGUGGGGAGCAA
rnacentral:rRNA from 1 species